rnacentral:rRNA from 1 species
AAACUUUCAACAACGGAUCUCUUGGCUCUGGCAUCGAUGAAGAACGCAGCGAAAUGCGAUAGGUAAUGUGAAUUGCAGAAUUCAGUGAAUCAUCGAAUCUUUGAACGCACAUUGCGCCU